GUCCAGUAUUUAUGAUCUGCUUAUUCUUUGUUUUAUCUAUUUGUGGUUCUUUUGUCUCACCAGAUUCCCUCUGCCCUGCCCCAAACCUUGUUGUGUGAUCCAGUGGAGAGCUCCUUGCUGCUGCCUCUGUGACCACUGGCACAGGGGGAUGAGUGAUAUUUCCUGGAACUUUGCCCAUACCAGUUUUCCUGUUGAUUAUCUUUCUGUGUUUUAUCAGCCCUGUGACAAGAAUUCCAGAGCACUCACAGA
rnacentral:lncRNA from 12 species